AUUGGACGCUGGCGGCAGGCCUAACACAUGCAAGUCGGACGGUAGCACAGAGGAGCUUGCUCCUCGGGUGACGAGUGGCGGACGGGUGAGUAAUGUCUGGGGAUCUGCCCGAUAGAGGGGGAUAACCACUGGAAACGGUGGCUAAUACCGCAUAACGUCGCAAGACCAAAGAGGGGGCCCUUCGGGCCUCUCACUAUCGGUUGAACCCGGAUGGGAUUAGCUAGUAGGCGGGGUAAUGGCCCACCUAGGCGACGAUCCCUAGCUGGUCUGGGAGGAUGACCAGCCACACUGGAACUGAGACACGGUCCAGACUCCUACGGGAGGCAGCAGUGGGGAAUAUUGCACAAUGGGCGCAAGCCUGAUGCAGCCAUGCCGCGUGUAUGAAGAAGGCCUUCGGGUCGUAAAGUACUUUCAGCGGGGAGGAAGGCGGUGAGGUUAAUAACCUUGCCGAUUGACGUUACCCGCAGAAGAAGCACCGGCUAACUCCGUGCCAGCAGCCGCCGUAA
rnacentral:rRNA from 1 species